rnacentral:rRNA from 1 species
CGAUGGAAGUCGGAGCCCAGAGUCGGCUACUGAGACAAGGAGCCGAGCUUUACGAAGCUUAGCGGUCGCGAAAACUCGCCAAUGCACGAAAGUGUGAGUGGGCUACUCCAAGUGUCAUUCUUACGGAUGACUGUCGCACAGUCUUACCAGCUGUGAAAGGAAGGAGAGGGCAAGGCUGGUGCCAGCCGCCGCGGUAA